GGAUCGACCGCUCCAAUGGACCAGUGGUUAGAGCAUCCGCCUCGGAUGCGGGAGAUCGCGGGUUCGAAUCCCAGCCGAGUCA